AACGGCAAGGAUAUAUGCUUGAAAUGACUAAAGGCAUUAAAUUGGAUGGAAAAAUAUACCUAUUCUUAAAACAUUAAGAAAACAACAAGCAUAUCAAAGUUACACAUAAUAAAUCAAUAUACAUCUUGAUGAGUUCCUUGUUACUAUAACUCAACAGCCAUUCUUUCUGCUGGGUUUCCAUGAUCUACAUCUACAGCAAAAUUUACAACCAUAUUAGCUGAAUAUAUAUGUUACAAAAGCAUUUGAAAAAGUUAUAUAGAAAUACAUUUUUUUAUCUUGUAAAUAGGAGAUGAUGGAAACCAACCAGCAAAAAAAAAGAAAAGAGAAAGAGAAAUCUUCAAGUAUGACGGAUCAACGCCGGAAUACAUGCUCCUCGCCGGUGUCGCGAUCCACAUGUUUUAUCCACCGACCACAACCACUGCCCAAGCUCGGCCCCUUCCCCACCCC
rnacentral:lncRNA from 1 species